rnacentral:rRNA from 1 species
GACAGAGGGUGCAAGCGUUGUUCGGAAUCAUUGGGCGUAAAGCGCACGUAGGCGGUCGUGUAAGUCGGACGUGAAAGCCCUGGGCUUAACCCAGGAAGUGCGUCUGAUACUGCACGACUUGAGUCCCGGAGAGGGUGGUGGAAUUCCUGGUGUAGAGGUGAAAUUCGUAGAUAUCAGGAGGAACACCGGUGGCGAAGGCGACCACCUGGACGGAGACUGACGCUGAGGUGCGAAAGCGUGGGGAGCAAACAGG